UGGGUUGUUACCACCAGUAGUUUGACAGGGUUAUUUGUCUGAGCAGAACAAAUAUUUCCAGGUUGCAGGAGUGAAAAACUCAUGACAGAUCCAGGUUAUUGUGCAGGGUGAUGCCAGGCAUGGCUGUUUGCAUUCUCAUCUUCUGAUGAAAUAGAGGACAAGCCUUUGCCAAUUUAACUUCAUCAUAAUCCCAUUCAAUUGCUCUGAGUACAUCUGGGUUGAAGAUCGUAGCCAUCAGUGGGGUGAUCUGUUGCCAAGAGCUAUUGUCUCUUUGUAUCUGGUUCCAAAGGCCAGAAAGGCUAGACAAUCCUAAAACCAUCUCUGCAGCAUGAUGGCUCCAAAGUUAAUUUCAAAGAUUAUAAUCACACUAGGCAAAUACUCAAAAACUGGAGAUGCCCGUAACCUCAAUAUGCUGCUCCGUCAUUGCCUCAAAACAGGUCUUAUAAUGGCAGGAAUUUGGUACAGCAUGCACAGAUGAGCCAUCCUGCCUUGAGUAUAUGGAAAAAAGAAAAGAACAAAUUAUCUCUUAAAAAAAGAACAAAAAGUCCAAGUUUGAAUUGAUUGGUUGAGUGACUAUCAUCGCACUAAUGAACAGUGUGCUGGUACCAAUCGAUCUUUGGCAGAAAGUCACCAGUUCAUGUCAACGGUUGCUAACACUGAAGGCCAUUUUAGAAAGGUGGUGCUGGAAGCACCCAAUCAGAAGCUACUGCUUUUUGUUGCAAGUGAAAAGUGAAACAAGAAAGGUGAUAUGCAUCCUUACUUCUGUUCUGCAAGAGAGCAGAGAACAAGGAAGGUCGUAUGUCAUAUCAGGGUUUUAAUAAACACAAUAAAUAGAAAUAAAUGUUUUUAGUGUUGGUAAAUAAAUUGCACAAAUUAAAACAGACAAACAAACAAACACCACAUAAUGACUUAUUUAUCCUUGGACCCGAGAUCACGAAUCAUUCUAUGAAAAUGCAGUAAACGUUAGAAAGGUGAAAAGCAACAGUGAUGUUGCUUUGUAAGUGUAUACCAAUAGCAAUCACUGAUUAACUAUUUAUUAAAACAACAUGUAGAAUUUGUCCUGAAAAUACAUUGGGCUCCUCCCAUCACAAAGCUGCUACCUAAUGCCUUUCUAAGUCUCAGAUUGUUUUAUCUUUUUGUCACUUUGUUUAAAAUACAGGUAUAUUCUUUGUGUUCUGAAAUGGGAGAGUCUCCUACUACUAGUUUUUCCAUACACUUAUGAACUGCAUAUACACUGACUCCAAGUAUCUUUGAUAGGACAAGAGAUAUUUAACAGUCUGUAUGGGAAUUGCUAAGUCAUGGCCUGAACCAAUGAAUGAGCACCUGGUGAGGGAACACAGCCACCCCAGGGAGCACAGGUGGAAGCAAUUCACCUGUGAGACCAAAAGGGAACUAGCUUCCACCCCUCCCUAAGCCUCAUUUAGGGGCUGGCUGCCCUAAGAGAAGGUUCUUUACCUGAAGGUCUGUCUUUUUGGAGUGCUUGAUGAACCCUGAUCUUUGGGACAGGACAACUUGUGUUGACUCCUUUUCAUGCGCUGAGGUGCCUGGAUCUAACUGAGAGAAGAGCUGCUCAAACAGGCUUCAGUCACACUCCUUUUAUCUUCAACCCCAGGCUGACCUCCAAGUGUGUGCUCCUGUAUUAAGUAGCCAAGGAAGGGUUGCAAGGAAGGCAGAGAAGAACCUGGCUCACUCGCAUCCUUAGGUAUUCUGGGUAAAUUACCUGCACAGCCAGCCUCUGAAUUGCUCUUUUGAAUGCAAUUGCUGUUAUUAUUGAAAGCACUACUCUCAAAAGCAAUAUUUCAUCAUUACUGCAAAAUAUCAUCCCUACAAUUAUCAGACAGAGUGUCUGUAGGAAUCUUACGGGGAAACGUGGUGACACCUGAAGGUGUGGUUUGGUGAAUGUGGUGAAGCCCCAAACCCGGAGCUAUGUCUCGUUAGUGCCUGGCUGUGGCAUGCCACCCUUUUACCCCAGCAUGAGAGGAAUGAGAAUUUGGCCUUUAGACUGUCAUGUGCACUGGAACAGGAUUAGCUGUGAUGAAUCUAUCGUCUUAAAAGUAGACUGCUUUUGGAGGAGUGGCAUUGCCUUAUUUCCAGCAAAGCUAUAAACAGCGAGGAGGAAUUCCCCCUGCCUUAGAGCUGACUCUUACUCUGCCUUCCCCCCAGUCCUUUCUGACUGGCUCCAGCCUCACUGAGCAGGUAGGCUUCUGUCUCAGGUGAUCCCUGUGCAAUCCUGGCAAGAAAAGGUCUGCAGCUCUGGAGGCAUCAUAGGAGAAAAAAAUGGGAAAGAUGAUCUUCAGUUGUGUAUCACAUUGCAUGUCACGUUUAUUUUGAAGAUCUCUUUGUCAUAUGAAGUAGUUAAAACAAUGAUGUUCUAGGGGUAAAAAGUGUUUGUUUUUCCUUAGGGGUAUUAAAUCUUAGUGACAGAAAAUUAUCUUCUUUUUGUAGAUAGUGAGAUAAAAAGAACAAUUCAUUUGGUUUUAGUCCUCUGUCCCCUUUGCCUUUUGGAAAAAGUAAAGACAGGAAAGACAGAAACAGUGGAAAGCAGUAUCUCAGAAAGAUAUCAGAAAAUGAGAAAAUAUCCAUCAGAAUGGAAACGUCUUACUUAAGGAGGAAGAAAAAAAAACAUUUAAGAUUGGAAAAUCACCUUGACAAGUUUCAACCUUCUAUAGCUGCCUGAGGAAGGAGUUUGCAGGAAAUCCUUUGCUCACUGUUAGGUACAUGCACAGAGAUGUUAAGUCAGCUGUGUGCUGCUAUCCUUAUCUAUUUACUACUCUGCUGAAAAAGGGCUCUGUCUGCCUAGGCUCAGGUCUGACCUUCCUUAAAGAAAAGGCUUUCAGAUGUAGAGAUUUUGUUUCCAGAUUUCUUCUCAUUUAAUUUUGCUGAAUGACUUUACCAAUCUCGAAGUACAUAAGAUGAGUUGACCAAAUGAGAAAUGCAGGUAGUGACAGCUGUUCUGGUGUCCUCUAUUAUAUAGAUGCAGGCACAGACAAAGCAGGGGAAGGAAGGUUAUCAGCAUUAUCAAGACAUCACCGACGAGUACAGCAAUCAUAGCAGAGCCUGAGUGACAUUUUCAGCAGCUCCUGUACUUAAAUGAGCACAGAUGUAGAUACAGUAAAAGCACAUAAGCAAAGGUAGCUCCAGCCCAGAUCUCAGCGGUGUGGCAGACAGGAUGACUGACUGCACAGUCAUCUGCAGGAAGGAGGCUGACUUGCUAAUUGUAUGCAAACGAGUAGAAAUUAAAACCAUUUGAAGGCGCUGUGAGCAGGAUGAAAUGUAAAGCUUCCUGUGACAUUUAUUCAGAGGAGGAUAUUGUUUUCCGUGGCUGCUUGGCUCAUGUACGUUUUGAAUGAACUGCACUUCACCGUGUCACCCACUGAGUUAACAAUUUGUGACAAUUACAGUAAUUAUUCUGCUACAGUAGCAAUGCCAUUGCCCAAAUAUGUUCCAGGAUUGGCUUUACUUGAAUGAACACGAAUACCACGGGCCUGAAAAAAACAUUUGUGGAUAUUGAAUCAUUUAAUUUUCUGAUUCUGUUAAUUCACAGUGUUGAAACACCGAUAACCCUGUUCGUUAAAGGAGCAGUGGAGAAGUGUGAGACAACUGAUACAGUGCUAAUGAAACAAAAGCUUUGCAGUCUCUGAGAAAAUGCAGUUGCAAAAUACGUGGACAUGUCAUCUCUGCAAGCUGUAAAGAACCAAAUGCAGAGGUGACUAAUGUGAAGGCUGGAUUGAGCAGACAGCCAGGGGGAGGUUGUGUGUCCUUGAAGCAGCAGAGUGACUCUGCGGUCCCACCUUCCAUUGGGCAAAGUUCCACUCCUAGGUUUGCAUCCUGCUGCAGAAGAGCCUGGAUGGAUGCUACCCACUAGAUUGCACACACCUCCACAUCCAGUUCUUGCAUUCCUUACAUCUGCAAAAGACCACAUAAACUCCAGACAAAGCAAUGGGAAAGAGCUCUUAGUAACCUACCUAUUAAAUGCACCACCUUUCAUUCUGAAGUGCUCUUCCAGCCUUAACACAGCACUUCUCCAUCUCAGUCUGUAUGGCUCCUCUGUUGAUGGAUAUUUGUUCCUGAAGGUGUGAUCCUUAGAGCCAAGCCUUAAUAUGAAAGCCUUUUCUUCCAUCUUAUCUUUGCAUUUUAAGAGGAAGUUGUGGCAUGAAAAGGAGGGAACAAUACUGAAUGCUCCACUUAAAAGAUGAAAACUCAGCACGGGCGCUAGAGGACACGACUUCUUUGUAGAUUUCAAACUAUGCUGCAUGUGAAACAGGGAUAUUAUUCUGGAUGGGUCCUCUUGAUUUCUUGCCAAGGUCAGCUCUGGAGCAUUCUGAUGAGGAAGUGGUUGCUUGAGUUGCUUCGUCAAUUAUUUACUUCAGGUUUGAUGACUUCUCACUGUUAUUUUUCCUUUAUGUUCUGGAGUCAGUCACUGUUUGUCACUCCAUUUCAGCUGUGGAGGUCGCCCAUUUAAUUCUGUGAAAGGCAGCAUAUGUCCAGACUUCUGUCAAGGCUGCACUAUGUUUUCUACCUAAUCACAGUUAAUGUUACUUUGCAGUUUUAAAGUAAUUAUUUUUCGCUGUCAGUGGUGAGUGCUUUCUAAUCCUUAUGAACCAGGUCCUUUCUGGUCCUGAGUUACAAAUAAAACCAAUUUUGUCAAGAACAGGUUCUGCAAGGAGUCCGUUCUUCACAGGAUCCUAAUUUUCGGCUGUUCUGUUCCUCUCCUCUGCAAAAUACAACCAAUUACGUUGUGGAUCCCACUCCAGUCUUAUGCAAGAAUAUAGGUUCUAUCUGGCAUAGACUGCUUUCACGAUAGUGACUUUUCUGAAGAUAGUGGUGUCAUCAUUUGAUUUUCUUCCUUAAACAUCCGAACCUUCUUUCAGUGGGGAGCACUGUCAUGUGGAUCCCUGCAUCCCUGCUGGCAAAGUGGUAUUUGGGGAAGACCCACAAAUACCAGAGAGGCCCCACAGCAGCUGGGUGUCCUGGAUGUGGAACAGGCUGUGGAAGAGUUAAAGCAACAGUGAUAAAGCAUGGUAAUGUCUGCAGUGCCUUACCACCCGUGAGUUCUCCCUGUCCUUGUUCCCUAGGCUGCCUGAUACGGAUGAAAGUGCCUUGUGCUCCCUCCUGGAGUCUUUCUGGGGACUGAACAGCACGAUGUUAUUGUCCUGCUAAUAGCAGACAGUUUUUACAGACCUGGAGAAAAGGGGCUGGGAGAGGCACUGGGAAUAUGUAGACUGCCUUAUCUGUGCCCCUGGGCAGUAUUGGCCAUCCCUCAGGACAAGCAGCAAGAUGCAAAGAGUGCUGGAGACAGAGCUCCAGGCAGAUCCUGUCACACUCACCCCGACAGCUGUCCUUCCUGUAUUUUGCUCUAAAUCCUCCACACACAAGAUUCAUCAUUUCUUGACCUGUGCCCUGGUGACAAGCAGAGCAGAUUUGUGCUUCCUCUCCUCAUGGAGAGGCACUGGGGGUCUGUCCUGAGGGCUCCCUCAAGAGCAGCCUUAGCUAGGCUACUGCUGCCUCUGCCUAUUCACCCUGACAGCAAAGCAACAGCAUCUUGCCUUAGCUUGCAGUUUUCCUCUGUGACGGCCAAGACAAGCUCGUUUUUCCUUAGCAAACACAUUCUCUUGUCUUUGUCAAGGAGGGGCUCGCUCCAGCAGAGUAUUUACAAUGCCAGAACUGAGGCAGUGCAGGCUGGGCACCGUGGGCUCCUGUGAGAGGCCCAUGCAGUGAAGCCCAUCCUUCCCAACCUGCAGCCAUGAUCUGUCACCGCUGUUGGUGAAAAUCACGGCCUGCUCGCUCUCAAACUCUCAUUCUCAUACUCCAGAAUAGCUCCCCAGACCAAGAGCUGGUAAGGAUGAUGAUGGCAAUUAAUAUUCUUAGUGAAAUUUUAGCUGUUGUGGUUUCUUUUCCUUUAGGAGAGGGCAAAUUAUUAAAGCCAAAAUUGUUGAUGGGAGCUGAUUUGACAAAUUUCUCAGUUCGGAACCACUUCCUUCAGGAGGAAGCACUGGAAUUGUUAAAACAAGGUUGUCUGUAUUUUAUAAAACAACGAGAUGUUUUAAUUCAAGGGUCAAGAUAAGUUGAAAAGAAGUAGGACAAAGAGUCAAUUUUAGCUUAAAGAAUAU